rnacentral:misc_RNA from 1 species
GAUGAAGAACGUAGCGAAAUGCGAUACUUGGUGUGAAUUGCAGAAUCCCGUGAACCAUCGAGUCUUUGAACGCAAGUUGCGCCCGAAGCCAUCAGGUUGAGGGCACGUCUGCCUGGGCGUCACAUAUCGUUGCCCAAUGCCUAUUGCAGUGCAAUAGGAAUUUCUAGGGCGAAUGAUGGCUUCCCGUGAGCGUUGUUGCCUCGCGGUUGGUUGAAAAUCGAGUCCUUGGUAGGGUGUGCCAUGGUAGAUGGUGGUCGAGUUAGAACGAUACCGAUCAUGUGCAUGCUCCCCAAAAUAUGGCCUCUAUGACCCACACGCGUCUUUUGACGCUCAUGACGAGACCUCAGGUCAGGCGGGGCUACCCGCUGAAUUUAAGCAUAUAAUAAGCGGAGGA